UGCAGUCGAACGGUGAAGCAGAGCUUGCUCUGUGGAUCAGUGGCGAACGGGUGAGUAACACGUGAGUAACCUGCCCUUGACUCUGGGAUAAGCGUUGGAAACGACGUCUAAUACCGGAUAUGACCCUCAACCGCAUGGUUAGGGGGUGGAAAGAUUUUUUGGUCAAGGAUGGACUCGCGGCCUAUCAGCUUGUUGGUGAGGUAAUGGCUCACCAAGGCGACGACGGGUAGCCGGCCUGAGAGGGUGACCGGCCACACUGGGACUGAGACACGGCCCAGACUCCUACGGGAGGCAGCAGUGGGGAAUAUUGCACAAUGGGCGCAAGCCUGAUGCAGCAACGCCGCGUGAGGGAUGACGGCCUUCGGGUUGUAAACCUCUUUUAGUAGGGAAGAAGCGAAAGUGACGGUACCUGCAGAAAAAGCACCGGCUAACUACGUGCCAGCAGCCGCGGUAAUACGUAGGGUGCAAGCGUUGUCCGGAAUUAUUGGGCGUAAAGAGCUCGUAGGCGGUUUGUCGCGUCUGCUGUGAAAACUGGAGGCUCAACCUCCAGCCUGCAGUGGGUACGGGCAGACUAGAGUGCGGUAGGGGAGAUUGGAAUUCCUGGUGUAGCGGUGGAAUGCGCAGAUAUCAGGAGGAACACCGAUGGCGAAGGCAGAUCUCUGGGCCGUAACUGACGCUGAGGAGCGAAAGCGUGGGGAGCGAACAGGAUUAGAUACCCUGGUAGUCCACGCCGUAAACGUUGGGAACUAGAUGUGGGGACCAUUCCACGGUCUCCGUGUCGCAGCUAACGCAUUAAGUUCCCCGCCUGGGGAGUACGGCCGCAAGGCUAAAACUCAAAGGAAUUGACGGGGGCCCGCACAAGCGGCGGAGCAUGCGGAUUAAUUCGAUGCAACGCGAAGAACCUUACCAAGGCUUGACAUAUACGAGAACGGGCCAGAAAUGGUCAACUCUUUGGACACUCGUAAACAGGUGGUGCAUGGUUGUCGUCAGCUCGUGUCGUGAGAUGUUGGGGUUAAGUCCCGCAACGAGCGCAACCCUCGUUCUAUGUUGCCAGCACGUUAUGGUGGGAACUC
rnacentral:rRNA from 1 species